rnacentral:rRNA from 1 species
AACGAACGCUGGCGGCAGGCCUAAAACAUGCAAGUCGAACGCUGUAGCAAUACAGAGUGGCGCACGGGUGAGUAACACGUGGGAAUGUGCCUUUUGGUACGGAACAACUUUUGGAAACGAAAGCUAAUACCGCAUGGUCCCUUCGGGGCAAAGAUUUAUCGCCAAAAGAGCAGCCCGCGUCUGAUUAGCUAGUUGGUAGGGUAAUGGCCUACCAAGGCGACGAUCAGUAGCUGGUCUGAGAGGACGAUCAGCCACACUGGGACUGAGACACGGCCCAGACUCCUACGGGAGGCAGCGGUUAGGAAUAUUGGACAAUGGGCGCAAGCCUGAUCCAGCCAUGCCGCGUGAGUGAUGAAGGCCUUCGGGUUGUAAAGCUCUUUAGUACACGAAUAUAAUGACUGUAGUGGAAGAAUAAGCCCCGGCUAACUUCGUGCCAGCCGCCGCAGUAAGAC